UACGAGGGGUGCAAGCGUUAUUCGGAAUAACUGGGCGUAAAGGGUGUGUAGACGGCAUGUUAAGUCUGUUGUUAAAUACUUCGGCCUAACUGAAGAAAGGCAGCAGAUACUGGUUUGCUUGAGGGUGGAAGAGAGAAGUGGAAUUCCCGGAGUAGCGGUAAAAUGCGUAGAUCUCGGGAGGAACACCGAUGGCGAAAGCAGCUUCUUGGUCCAUUCCUGACGUUGAGGCACGAAAGCGUGGGGAGCAAACAGG
rnacentral:rRNA from 1 species